rnacentral:snoRNA from 1 species
CCUGCCUCUAGAGGCUUUGCAGGUGUGGCUGCUGUGUCACACGUAGGUCAGCAGGUGGCAGAAGAGAAGAGAGACUGUGUACACUCAGCGUUCUGACCCAUGAACCUCUCUGAAUGGUUAGUAGCCUAACAUU